rnacentral:misc_RNA from 1 species
UCGUAUGACGGAGGCAUCGGGGCUGUCGCUAACUUUGUGCACGCCUCGGUGCUCUCUCACAAUCCAUCUCACCCUUUGUGCAUCACCGCGUGGGUGCCCUCCUUUUAAAAGGGGGCAUUUGCGCUUUUAUACAGACCCACCGCAUGUGUAGAAUGUCUUACUAUUUGUGAUAAUACGCAAUCAAUA